GACGAACGCUGGCGGCGUGCUUAACACAUGCAAGUCGAACGGUAAGGCCCUUCGGGGUACACGAGUGGCGAACGGGUGAGUAACACGUGGGUGAUCUGCCCUGCACUUCGGGAUAAGCCUGGGAAACCGGGUCUAAUACCGGAUAGGACCACUGCCUGCAUGGGUGGUGGUGGGAAGCUUUUGCGGUGUGGGAUGGGCCCGCGGCCUAUCAGCUUGUUGGUGGGGUGAUGGCCUACCAAGGCGACGACGGGUAGCCGGCCUGAGAGGGUGACCGGCCACACUGGGACUGAGAUACGGCCCAGACUCCUACGGGAGGCAGCAGUGGGGAAUAUUGCACAAUGGGCGCAAGCCUGAUGCAGCGACGCCGCGUGAGGGAUGACGGCCUUCGGGUUGUAAACCUCUUUCAGCACCGACGAAGCGCAAGUGACGGUAGGUGCAGAAGAAGGACCGGCCAACUACGUGCCAGCCGCCGCAGUAA
rnacentral:rRNA from 1 species